rnacentral:rRNA from 1 species
ACUCAAAUGAAUAGACGGGGACCCGCACAAGCGGUGGAGCAUGUUGUUCAAUUCGAAGCAACGCGAAAAACCUUACCUACCCUUGACAUACCCCUUGGGGCCUGAAGAGAUUCGGGCUUUCGGUUCGGCCGGGGGGGAUACAGGUGCUGCAUGGCUGUCGUCAGCUCGUGUCGUGAGAUGUUGGGUUAAGUCCCGCAACGAGCGCAACCCUCAUUGUCUGUUGCCAUCAGGUUAAGCUGGGCACUCUGACAAGACUGCCGGUGACAAGCCGGAGGAAGGCGGGGAUGACGUCAAGUCAUCAUGGCCCUUACGGGUAGGGCCACAAACGUGCUACAAUGGCAGUGACAAUGGGCAGCGAGGCCGCAAGGCCAAGCGAAUCCCAAAAAGCUGUCUCAGUUCAGAUUGUCCUCUGCAACUCGAGGGCAUGAAGCUGGAAUCGCUAGUAAUCGUGGAUCAGCACGCCACGGUGAAUACGUUCCCGGGUCUUGUACACACCGCCCGU